CUCCAGCCCCGAUAGAAGUGGAAAUCCUUUUAUUUUGAGGUUCAAAAUAAAAGAUUGAAACGAAUAGCGGGAAAAAGC
rfam:Flavobacterium plurextorum strain CCTG 60112 WGS0045_contig_23, whole genome shotgun sequence.